GAUGAAGAACGCAGCGAAAUGCGAUAAGUAAUGUGAAUUGCAGAAUUCAGUGAAUCAUCGAAUCUUUGAACGCAUCUUGCGCUCCCUGGUAUUCCGAGGAGCAUGCCUGUUUGAGUGUCAUCUAAAUCCUCAAACCACAUUGAUUCUUUCGGUGUGGCUUUGGAAGUGGGGGUAGUGUUUGCAGGUUUUAUCUUAAGUCUGCACCCCUGAAAUGCAUUAGUGGUAUCUGAGCAGAAGGAACUACUACAGGUGUGAUAAUUUAUCUAUGCCUUAGUAUACUGCAUAAAACAGAUUACACUGCUUAUAACAAACUUUAUUUCUUUUUUUUGGAGACCUCAAAUCAGGUAGGACUACCCGCUGAACUUAAGCAUAUCAAUAAGCGGAGGA
rnacentral:misc_RNA from 1 species